GGCAAGGAAAGCCAGAGGCGCAGAACAUUCUCCAGAGGCUACUGUGGGGGCCAAGACUCCAACUGGCUAUCUGGACACCUGGACUUGAAUCCCAGUUCGGCCACCCAAGAGAGAAGCCAGCUUCCGUGCCCUGCAUGGGCAUUGUCUGCCAUCUGCCCUCCAGCAGCUCUGGGCCUCGGCCAGCUCCCGGACCAGGCAUUUCCCUCCAGCAGGCAGCCUGAGGCCACAGAGACCUCUGCCCUUCACCCACCCCCACCCGGAGCUGCCGGAGGCUGCUAAGGACCUGCAAGCUGUGCCACCUCAUGCACAGCCAUAUUUCAAGUGUUCAAGAGCCGCAUGUGUCUAGUGGCUGCCAUACUGGAGCGGUGCAAGGCUGUCCCCUUGAAGAGUAUGUGAACAGGAAGCACACAGCCAGAAACGACUACACAGCAC
rnacentral:lncRNA from 1 species